rnacentral:lncRNA from 1 species
AACCUUGCACAAACUUUGCUGUGAGCUGAGCUCACAGCCUCCCUCCCUUCCCUCCUUGCCUGCUGCCAAGACGCAGCAGCACCCAAGCGCUACCCAUCCUCUCCGCUCUGCUGCCUGCCGCUGCCGAGGGAGGGGACUCGCUGUUUCCAUCCAUGCAGUGAAGCUCAUGAAGAGAAGGUUCCUUUGUCCCCUUCUCCAGCUGCCUGCGAAGGAAGGGCAUCAGCAGUGAUGUCCAGUUAGACUGUCAGUUGACAUCUCAAGACCGGGAGUAAGAGCCAUUCCUGCCAGCAAACCAUGUGAAUUCAGGAGCAGACGAGAAGAAAGUGCACUUGGCAUGUCUGUUGCUGAAAAGACAAUAUCCUGACUCCAGCAAUAAGACAGCAAAUCUUAUCGGCUCAAAUCCCACUACCUGGGAGGAGAUGUUCCUAGAUAAAUCACCAGCAAGCUCAUGGUCUGAACCAGCUGCUCUAGUGCCUAGUCCCAACACCCCUGCCUGCUCUGAAAGAAAGCUGACCUUUUGGCUGUUCCUAAUGAGAAACUCAAAACUCCAUACUCUUUAAGCAAAUAUCAAUAGCCCUGGAUUAGGAGUGAAGAGAUCCCCCAGCAGCCUGGCAAAGCAGAAAAACCCCAUCCCCAGCUCAUACAAGGAUAAACCACCUGCUGUGGGAAAAGCUGGCAGAAAGCUCUGUUUGGAAAACAACACUUGCAAAGACCAAAGCGGUGCAAACCUUUGCAGCUCAAUUUGAGAGAAAGACCAAAGCUUUCCACCUGCCAAAGGAGGUGAUCUACCAAAAGAAGGACCAAAGCAUUUUCAGUACAAAAUAAAAGGCAGUGUAAAACACAAGUUCAAUGCUUGUUGUCAUUGUAAUAGCAACUUGCAAAAUGAUUUGCAAAGGCCUGUCUCAUGCAGUGUGCUUAACUGUGUGAACCAGCAGCCCUGAGACCAAGAGGAUGGAGCAUAUUUAUUACUGAAGCCAUCAUGCCAUCUGUCCUAAGUUUCCUCUCUUGACCUCCUUUGUGAGUCUGGUGAGGAAGACAGGAAAUCUGAAGGUAAAUAGGGAAAAUGG